rnacentral:rRNA from 1 species
CAGCAGCCGCGGUAAUACGUAGGGUGCGAGCGUUAAUCGGAAUUACUGGGCGUAAAGGGUGCGCAGGCGGCUCUGUAAGUCUGACGUGAAAUCCCCGGGCUCAACCUGGGAACUGCGUUGGAAACUGUAAAACUAGAGUGUAGCAGAGGGGGGUAGAAUUCCACGUGUAGCAGUGAAAUGCGUAGAUAUGUGGAGGAAUACCGAUGGCGAAGGCAGCCCCCUGGGUUAACACUGACGCUCAUGCACGAAAGCGUGGGUAGCAAACAGGAUUAGAUACCCUGGUAGUCCACGCCCUAAACGAUGUCAACUAGUUGUUGGGGAAGGAGACCUCCUUGGUAACGCAGCUAACGCGUGAAGUUGACCGCCUGGGGAGUACGGUCGCAAGAUUAAAACUCAAAGGAAUUGACGGGGCCCGCACAAGCGGUGGAUAAUGUGGAUUAAUUCGAUGCAACGCGAAAAACCUUACCUACCCUUGACAUGUACGGAAGACUGCAGAGAUGUGGUUGUGCUCGAAAGAGAACCGUAACACAGGUGCUGCAUGGCUGUCGUCAGCUCGUGUCGUGAGAUGUUGGGUUAAGUCCCGCAACGAGCGCAACCCUUGUCAUUAAUUGCCAUCAUUCAGUUGGGCACUUUAAUGAGACUGCCGGUGACAAACCGGAGGAAGGCGGGGAUGACGUCAAGUCCUCAUGGCCCUUAUGGGUAGGGCUUCACACGUAAUACAAUGGUGGGUACAGAGGGUUGCGAAGCCGCGAGAUGGAGCCAAUCCCAGAAAGCGGAUCGUAGUCCGGAUUGUAGUCUGCAACUCGACUACAUGAAGUCGGAAUCGCUAGUAAUCGCGGAUCAGCAUGUCGCGGUGAAUACGUUCCCGGGCCUUGUACACACCGCCCGUCACACCAUGGGAGUGGGUAUUACCAGAAGCAGGUAGCCUAACCGCGAGGGAGGCGCCUGCCACGGUAGGAUUCAUGACUGGGGUG